GCUUCACUUCUCUCCCAGAGAAAAAAAAACCGUCUUAUCUCGAUCCCUUUCUUCCUCGACAGUGGUGUAGAAGGAGAGGAGCACCGGCGUCCACACCGGGGAGGUCGAAGGGGAGGCGGUAGAUUGGAGGAGCCCAGCGAGCCGGUCGGCCGGCGCCAUACAGAAGCAGCGCUGCCGUCUCCUUUCCCCCACUUUUUUAGGAGCUGGAUCUGAGGUGGCCAACCGCCGCUGUCGCCGCCGCCCCGUCGGGAAAAGGCCGCCAUGUAGAUCACGCAGCAGGCCGGUCCACCCGCUAAAAUCUGUUGAUUUUGCCCUUCGUUGUAUCUUCUGCACCAUCUGCUUCUCUAUUCACCCGCCAAACAAAUGAGUAUGUGCCAUGCUUUGCAGGAAAUUCAUUGAACAUAUGUACCUCUUCUCCUGAAGCCGAUGCUGCCAUGCCUAUGAAUCGGAUAUGACCGAUGCUUUGUCAAGGGCUCAUAUGAGAGAAGAAAAGGAGGCUGGAGAUGCAGAGAAAGAAGCUCUAAGCUCAACAAAGGCAUCAGGUUAAUUUUGCUUCAAUUCUUAGGGCCAACUUAUUGUACUAUGUAAUCUAUCUAGUUAGUUACCAGAAGAUUUGCAAUAAAUAAAUAGCUGCCUGGUUCUCAAUAGGUUUGUAGCAUAGUGCCAAUUAUGUGCAACAAUACAUGUUGAGAAGACAAUCAAAUGGAAUUUAAAUACAAUAUUUUUCAAAUGCGUUCUUUGCCAGGAAAGCAGAGAGGGAGAGAGAGGGGAGCAGUAGAUGAACUAAAUGGGUUGGUUGUGUUGGGUUGCAAGCCACGAACUGAGCAUCACAAACAUCCUGUACUAACCUAGAACUAUAAUUGGUAUAUGGAUAAUAGUAUGCAGAGUUGGCCGCCGAAGCAGUAGGAGUUGUCCAGCACUGCUGCUUUAGUUGGACGGAAAAGCAGUCCUAGUUGCGCACCCAAUUUUCUUGGGUGUCUCUGUGGCAAAAUCAGUAGUACAAGUUGUGCAUAAUACUUGAUGGAGUUGGCGCAGCAAAAUAGUAAAAUUUGAGUGUCAUUUAUAUUAUUUUUUCUAUUUUUGUGGUCGAGUUUUUCUUCUAGAAGCCUGAAAUCUGAAUAUUUCAUUUCCCAAGAGUAUCUAAAUAAUUGGCAUCUCAAGAUUUUCAGUUGCACAAGAGCAUUCAGAAACAUCCAUUUUGCCUGAUUUUUGGUUUGACAAGGAUGAAAACGUCGGCAUUGGAGUCGUGGCCGUGGCAGGGAAGGCGAACCCAGCGCAGCUCUGCCAGUGGCUCAAGAGGAAGAUAAGCAAGGAUGUCAAGAUUUUCCGCCAUUGUCCACACGGGCUGAGAAUUGUAAUAAGCAGGGCUAGCCGUGUGGGGUUAAGGUGCUUGCCGGCGGCGACCUGCGUGGCUCUCAGCCUGCAUCCUCGCUGAACUCAACACCAACUAUCGCGCGCCUGCGAUGUGACUGCUGUUGCAACAACGACGGCCAACGGCUAUUGAACGACGAGGAUGCCCUUCGGGGUUAUAGCAUGCAAAGCAAAGCAGUUGCUCGAUCCUCACAGCCAAUAUAUCUCCGUGUAGAAGCAGAAGAAGCAACAAUUGAUUCAUAUAUUGAUCUUCACAUUCUUAGUUGGCAUCCAUAGUGGUUUUAGUUGUACACAUAGCCGUUCUCAGUUGGAUACGACAAUUAGAAAAUUGCACAACACUAAACCUUUUUCCUACGGCGGUGAAAGUGGAACGGUAUACAUUGAACUGAAUACACAUGGCGUUCAUUUUUUUGGCAUUUAUAGUAAUUCUUGUUGCACACAUAGUUGUUUUCGUCGGAGACGAUCAUUACUAUAGUAGUUGUAGUUGCACAUACAGUUGUUCUCAGUUGGAUCCUAUUAUUGAAAAAUUGCACACAUGGCAAUCAUUUUUUAUUGGCAUCUAUAGUAGUUUUAGUUGCACACAUAGUUGUUUUCAGUUGGACACGAUUAUUGGGAAGUUACACACACGGUGAUCAUUUUUGUUAGCAUCUAUAGUAGUUCUAAUUGCACACAUAUUUGUUCUCAAUUGGAUACGAUCAUUGGAAAGUUGCACACACGGCGACCAUUUUUUGUUGGCAUCUAUAGUACUUCUAGAUAUUAUGCACAUAAUUGUUCUUAGUUAGAUACGGUCAUUCGGAAGUUACACACACGGUGAUCAUUUUUUGUUGGCAUCUACAGUAGUUCUAGUUGCACACAUAGUUGUUUUUAGUUGGACACGAUCAUUGGAAAGUUGCACACACGGCGAUCAUUUUUGGGUGGCAUCUAUAGUAGUUCUAGUUGCACACAUAGUUGUUUUCAGUUGGAUACGGUCAUUGGAAAGUUGCACACACGGCAAUCAUUUUUUGUUGGCAUCUAUAAUAGUUCUAGUUGCACACAUAGUUGUUUUCAGUUGGACACGGUCAUUAGAAGUAGUUGGCAGGGGCAAUAGAAGUAGUUGCACAGAAUCUGCUAGUCAAAACUUCACGGUGGCGAAAGAUUCCUCUUAGUAAAACUGCAAAGAAGAAAGGCGCGCGCGGAGGCAGUAUCCAAAGGGGUAGAUGCCACAUCUUCUGCAGCAGCCGCUGUGGUAACAUAAAGUUCCAUCAGGAAUAUUUUUUUACUCCACAUACAGGCAGCCAAGUGUAUGAAUUUUCAUACAUGAUUGCAGAAGGACUAAUUAAGCAUUGGCAUGCUCAACUUUCCCAGUUGCUCAACGUUGCCAUCUUCAAGUUUUUUAGAAUUGUCCCAAGAGUAUGUAACGACUUGGCAUUCUCAGACUUUCUAGUUGCAGAAUAGUAUCUAAUUAGUUGGCAACCUCAGUAAUUCUAGUUGCACAACAAUAUAUAACUAGUUGACAUCCUCAUCUUUUCUAGUUGCACAAAAACUCAGAUUAGUCCCAUCUUAAAAAAAUUGAGGAUUUCCCUACAGUAUGUAACGACUUGGCACCCUCAGGCUUUCUAGUUGCAGAAGAGUAUCUAUUUAGUUGGCACCCUCGGCAAUUCUAAUUGGACAACAUUAUCCAAGUAGUUGACAUCCUCAGCCUCUCUAGUUGCAUAAGAAUUCAGAUUUAUCCCAUCUUAAAAUUUUUGAGGAUUGCCCAACGGUAUCUAAUCACUUGGCACCCUCAGGAUUUCUAGUUGCAGAAGAGUAUCUAUUUAGUUGGCACCCUCUACAAUUCUAGUUGGACAACAUUAUUCAAGUAGUUGUCAUCCUCAGCCUCUCUAGUUGCACAAGAAUAUCUCAUUAGUUGGCAUCAUCAGCAUUUCUAGUCGCACAAGAAUUUCUCAUUAGUUGUCAUCACCAGCAUUUCUAGUUGCAGAACAAACAUGAUAUCAAGUUGCCAUCCUCAACAUUUUAAUCUAGUUUUCCAGAGAACAAAUAUUUGUAUGUAAUGAUAACUAAUCACCUUUGCCUUUUUUUGCAAACCGCGAGAUAUUGUUCAAGGAAAUGAGAGUAAUGAAGCAGAUAAUGUUGAACGAUAGUCACAAGCUGGCUACCUGAUGGAGACUACUCUGGAUACCUGAUGUUUGAGUUGGAUAGAAUACCUGUUUUAGUUGGCUAUAAUACUCUGGAUACCUGAUGCAUUUUUUUCACCCCUGGAUAUGUUUGUUUGCAGACAUCCAUGUGAAAGUUGGUUUCAAACAAUGGUUUUCUUGCACAGGGAACUGAAUUUCUUAUGCUUUUA